rnacentral:rRNA from 1 species
AAACUUUCAACAACGGAUCUCUUGGUUCUGGCAUCGAUGAAGAACGCAGCGAAAUGCGAUAAGUAAU